AGUGCUGGCGCAAGUCGUCUUGCGCCAGGCGACUGGGUCUGAGGAGGCAGGAGUUAUUCAUUCCCUUAAGCUUUCAGGCCGGGGGGAGAAUCUUUCAGGUGGUAGCUGCAAGAACUCUUAGUAUGUUGACCUCACCUCUGCCUUCCACAUACCACUACCAGUGAGGAAUUAGGAAUGCAUGAGAAGAGUGUCCAAGAAGAGUGUCCUCAUUCAUGCAAGGCUUAAGAGAGAAUGCAGGUCAACAUCACCAUGUCAAUCAGAGGUGCAGAUGCUGAGAGCACUUUCUAGUCAAGUCCUGCAUGUUCAUUUCUGUCUCAAGUCAGCUUCUCUGAGAAUCCAAUUUAUAAAAAUAUAUUUGUGAAUGUAUAAGUAAAGUGACUUGGAUUUUGUCUACGUACAAGGACUUCUAUGCCUGCAUAAAACAGGUUUGGAUAUUCUACAGAAGUUCACCUGGGCUUCAGAUUCGCACCUGAUCCUAAUCUCUGAUUAACACCAUCAGAUAAAGAGAUUCUCCUAACAUGUUGGGGCCAUAGACUAAGGAAGUUUAGCAAGUCUGGGAGCUUUCAGAGUGACUAACCAUACCAGUUUGACCAAGACUGUAUUGGCUGCAGCACUUAAAAGCUCACAUCCCGGAAAUCCUUUGGUCCUCGGUGAAUUGGGAUGGUUGGUUACCCUAUUACUGAUGAUUGUAAUUCUCAGCGUAGUUUGGAACCAGCAGCAGCAGCAGCUCCCCAGACCUACUGAAUCAGAAUCUACAUUUUGAUAAGAGCCCAGGGUGACUCCAUGUACGUGAAAAAGUUUGAGAAGUCCUUAGACCUACAGUUCACAGCUUCUCCUUCUUUCUUAUUCAACUGAAUUGCAGUGGGACCUGAGUAUGGUUAAAAUAAAUGAAUAAAAACACAAA
ensembl:lncRNA LINC01524 long intergenic non-protein coding RNA 1524